GUUAAAAUAAGUAAGUCUGUUCGACUUUUUAAAAAUUACAUGAUUUGAGUUCAAAUCGGUGAAAACCAGAUUGGUUUCUAUCUUUACCAUAAAAUUUAUUAGUACGAAAGGACCAUAAAUAAUAUUAAUCAAUUUCUUAAUGGCAGAAAAUUGCAUUAGAAUUAGAAUCUAACUAUACUAAAAUCACCCCCUCUAAUAUACUUUUAACAAUCAUUAGAAUCCUAAUCACUGUAGCAUUUUAUACUAUCUUAGAACGAAAAACCCUUAGAUAUAUGCAAAUUCGAAAAGGCCCUAACAAAGUUGGAUUUAUAGGGUUAUUACAGCCUUUUAGAGACGCUAUUAAACUAUUUAAUAAAUCCCUUAUUACCCCUGAGUCUGCAAACAAUA
rnacentral:rRNA from 1 species